GCGCCCUUAGCUCAGCGGAUCAGAGCACUUGGCUUCGAACCAAGGGGUCGCAGGUUCGAACCCUGCAGGGCGCGCAA
rnacentral:tRNA from 1 species